rnacentral:rRNA from 1 species
AUUGAACGCUGGCGGCAUGCCUUACACAUGCAAGUCGAACGGUAGCGCGGGGUAACCUGGCGACGAGUGGCGAACGGGUGAGUAAUGCAUCGGAACGUGCCCUGGAAUGGGGGAUAACGUAGCGAAAGUUACGCUAAUACCGCAUAUUCUGUGAGCAGGAAAGCAGGGGAUCGCAAGACCUUGCGUUCUGGGAGCGGCCGAUGUCGGAUUAGCUAGUUGGUGGGGUAAAGGCCUACCAAGGCGACGAUCCGUAGCGGGUCUGAGAGGAUGAUCCGCCACACUGGGACUGAGACACGGCCCAGACUCCUACGGGAGGCAGCAGUGGGGAAUUUUGGACAAUGGGCGGAAGCCUGAUCCAGCCAUGCCGCGUGAGUGAAGAAGGCCUCGGUUGUAAG